UACGUAGGGGGCAAGCGUUGUCCGGAAUCAUUGGGCGUAAAGAGCGUGUAGGCGGCCCGAUAAGUCCGCUGUGAAAGUCCAGGGCUCAACCCUGGAAUGCCGGUGGAUACUGUCGGGCUCGAGUUCGGAAGAGGUGAGUGGAAUUCCUGGUGUAGCGGUGAAAUGCGCAGAUAUCAGGAGGAACAUCAGUGGCGAAAGCGACUUCCUGGACCAAUACUGACGCUCAUGUGCGAAAGCGUGGGGAGCAAACAGG
rnacentral:rRNA from 1 species